UACGGGGGGGGCAAGCGUUGUUCGGAAUUACUGGGCGUAAAGGGCUCGUAGGCGGCCAACUAAGUCAGACGUGAGAUCCCUCGGCUUAACCGGGGAACUGCAUCUGAUACUGGAUGGCUUGAGUUCGGGAGAGGGAUGCGGAAUUCCAGGUGUAGCGGUGAAAUGCGUAGAUAUCUGGAGGAACACCGGUGGCGAAGGCGGCAUCCUGGACCGACACUGACGCUGAGGAGCGAAAGCCAGGGGAGCAAACGGG
rnacentral:rRNA from 1 species